UGACAUAUUGAGAAAAUGAAGGCAAAGGAAAUCAGCCACCCUAAUGAUAGGAGCAAGAUUUGACAAAAACGUCACUAUUCAUAUACCUAUAAAUAAUUAAUUAAAUGAAAAUUUUAUUUUACUUGUACCGCAAUCAGAAAAUUAAAAAUAUCUAAAAAUGUGAGGCUAUUAUCGAAUCCGAGCCUAUCUUAGUAUCUAAGCAAAAAAGUUGUACAAUUUUGAAUAAUAGAGCCACUGCCACACAUCUCCCUUCAAAUAUUGAUUGUAAAUGUUGAUUAAUUAGCUCGAGACUUCAUCUAGAAGCUUAUACCUUCUCACCUUAUUUCUAAAAACUGGUCUAAUAAUCCUCUCAGGUAUCACGCCGCGAUCGCUCGUCACCCUCUUCCUGCCGGCCAGCGGUGGCGGCGCAGCUCGAUCGGGCGCCGGCGAUUUAUUCUGCUUCUUGAUUCUGUUAUCAAUUGCUCUUCUAUCGCCAUGAUUGACGUCGAUCUUACCCUUUUUGAUCUUCAUGUCGCUAAUUUUGGUUUUGUGAGAUGAAUUUUGGGACGAUUUUGUGGUCUCUUCUCCUUUGUGAUUGUGAUCAUCUUUUUGGCUAAGGCACCAGUUGCAAAUGUUGUAGGUUUCAGCUCCCGGGUACAGAUUGCUACAAUAUCUACGACAUUUAUGCUCGAUUAAAUCAAACCUAAAGUGAAGAAUAUGUAUUACUACUACUUACUUAUGUUGUGAUCGAAACUCGCAGCCGCUACACGAGAAAAGCUCCGAAGAGAGGCCAUGAUCUCCACACAUACAACAUUCCACUGCUGCUCCUUCUACUUCACUGUUUCUUCCCAUUUAUAUGUAUAUGUAUAUGUGAAUUAUGAUGAGAAGAGAGAGAGAGAGAGAAAUAAUGUGUGUAUAUAUAUACAUAUAUAUUUUGGAGAGAGAGAGAGAGAGAGAGAGAGGAAGUAAGUUACGUAGUAGUAUAGUAGUACUANAUGAUGAGAGAGAGAGAGAGAGAGAAAUAAUAGUAUGUAUAUAUAUAUAUACAUAUAUAUUUGUAGAGAGAGAGAGAGAGAGAGGAAAUUUGACGUUGAUAUGGUAUCAUAUUCAUUUUUCAGAAGUCUUGUUCCGUGUGAGAUAAGUUAGAAAAAUAAAUAAAUAUAUGCCACGAUUAGUGGCAUGAAAAAGAAGGGUGGGGGCUCACCACUCACAACUUUUAUUUCCUUCUAAUAAAUUGUCUUUCCUACUAAGCUUUAGGUUUUUGCCGUGUUUAGUAAAGUUUGAUUAGACGUCUUAACAAACAUAAGUCUAAGUACUAUAUUCUCUUAAUGUGAAAUCACGUUUGUAUUUGGAAUAACAAAAUUAAAUUUGGUAUGAGUAAAUUAAUAAAUUAAUUAUGCCAUAGAAAAGGAGGGGAAAAAAAUUGUUUUAAUGAUAUACUUUCUAUGAUUGAUACAUGCCAUGGAAUACUGGAAUAAUAAUUUAUUUCUUUGUUUUCGUUUUGUUAUUCAUAUAAGACUUAGUAUAUUAAAAUACCCACUUCUAUAAUAUGUCUAUGAAAAAUACCCACCCCCUAGGGUGGGUAUUUUUCAUAGACAUAUUAUGGGGGUGGGUACUUUUAAUUCCACCCCUUCAUAUAAACUCACUCAUAUGAUUAAUUUUCCUUUUAUCAGUGUAAAAUCUAGAAUUAUAGUUAGUGUGAAGAAUUCUAGUGAAACUGUGUACAUUAAUUAGAUUAUGAUCAAUAAAAUAGUAGCAAUAUAAAUUUCAACUAAACAAUAUAAUUGUAAGUAUAUAUAGCAAUCAAAUCAUCUUAUAUAUUCACAUGGACUGAAAUCAUGAAAACAUGAUGGGUAACCAAAUACAGACAUCUUACUGUGGCUCUUUUUUUUGACUUGGGGGAGUUGGGGAGGGGAGCAGUGGGGUUUGAACCCGGGACCUCACUGUUCACACACAGGAGGUCGCACCGCUUGGUGUCCCAUUGGGGACAACUAUGGCUAAAUUAUCAAGAGAAGAGAUUUUUAUAACUAGACAAAUAACUAUAAAGUUGCAAAAGAAAUAAAAUCAAAUAAAUAACAGACUCACGUAAAAACUAAUGAAAGAAAUAUUGAUAAUCGGAAAUGUGAUGACUCAACUAGAAAGCUUUCACAAAUAAUCGCACAUUCUCUAUUUUUGUUGGGUCUCAAGAAAAUCUAUUAACUCUCAAAAGUUAACUAAGAACAAUUUCCUAUGAUCCACUUAUUUCCCUUUGGUUUCAAGACAAAAGUCAUAUGUAUUCUUGAAUCGGUUGAACAAUUAUCCCUGUCGUUUUCAAAUGGAACAACUAAACAUGCAAAAUAUUGAUCAAGUAAUUUACAAGGAACAAGUACCAUAAAUCAUAAAUACUCAUUCCGUCCAUGAUAUCGUUUCCACUUUUGCCAUUUUGGUUCGUCUACAAUUCCAUUUCCACUUCUAUUUAUAGUUAUAGGGUCCCACAACUUACUCAUAAUAAUAGUGGGAUUCAACCUCCACUAAUAACAAUACCCACUAUUAUAUCCACAAUUUUCUUAAAACUCGUGUCGUCCACAAAGUGAAAAUGAUAUCGUGAACGGAUGGAGUAAUAAAUUAUAGACGGAAAGGCAAUAUUGUAUCAAUAAAUCAAAAACAUAAAAUCAAUUAAGUCAUACAACUCUAAAAUCAGAUAAAAACUAAGCUAGACAUAAUUAAGUAAGAAUAAAACAUAAUUAAGUGUGUGUGUUGGCCAAGCGGUAAGGGGUUAAUGCCCAAGGCCAAAGGUCUUGGGUUCGAGUCCCCUGUGGUGCGGUCUUUAAAUUUUUUUAUUUAAUACUGUUAAUUUAUCAAUAAUAAUAAUAAAAUGAUGCAUCCAUCAUAGAUAUUAAUGAUCGAAUGGCUGAAAAUGAUUCAUCGUUCUUAUUUUAUUUAUUUGAACUUCUCUAUAUAUAUAUAUAUUUCAAGCUUUAACAUUUUCUUGUAGUAAAUUGUAAUUGGAUUUUAGGUUACUUGUAAUUUAUGGUCCUAAUUUUAAAAUCAUGUGUAAAAAUGAUUCGAACUUAUACUUUUGAGUUGAAUUAUGAUG
rnacentral:lncRNA from 1 species